rnacentral:rRNA from 1 species
AGUGAACGCUGGCGGUAGGCCUAACGCAUGCAAGUCGAACGGCAGCACAGUAAGAGCUUGCUCUUACGGGUGGCGAGUGGCGGACGGGUGAGGAAUACAUCGGAAUCUACUUUUUCGUGGGGGAUAACGUAGGGAAACUUACGCUAAUACCGCAUACGACCUACGGGUGAAAGCAGGGGAUCCUCGGACCUUGCGCGAUUGAAUGAGCCGAUGUCGGAUUAGCUAGUUGGCGGGGUAAAGGCCCACCAAGGCGACGAUCCGUAGCUGGUCUGAGAGGAUGAUCAGCCACACUGGAACUGAGACACGGUCCAGACUCCUACGGGAGGCAGCAGUGGGGAAUAUUGGACAAUGGGCGCAAGCCUGAUCCAGCCAUACCGCGUGGGUGAAGAAGGCCUUCGGGUUGUAAAGCCCUUUUGUUGGGAAAGAAAAGCAGCAGGUUAAUACCCCGCUGUUCUGACGGUACCCAAAGAAUAAGCACCGGCUAACUUCGUG